rnacentral:rRNA from 1 species
GCAUAAUCAGUAGUCUUUUAAUUGAAGGCUGGAAUGAAUGGUUGGACAAGGGGGAAGCUGUCUCUUUUUACAAUUUUUGAAUUUUACUUUUAAGUGAAAAGGCUUAAAUAAUUUGGGGGGACGAUAAGACCCUAUAAAAUUUUACAAAAUUGGGAUUUUUUUUUGAAUUAAGGUUUAAAUUCUAUAAGUUCUUAUUUGUUUUGUUGGGGCGGCAAAGAUAAAAAUUAGUAACUGUCAUUUAAUUAGAAUAAUUAUAAUUAGUUUAAUUGAUCCUUUAUUAGAGAUUAAAAGAUUAAGUUACUUUAGGGAUAACAGCGUAAUUUUCCCUGACAGUUCUUAUCGACGGGAGUAGUUGCGACCCCGAUGU